UAACGGCCGCGGUAUUUUGACCGUGCAAGGUAGCGUAAUCACUUGUCUUUUAAAUGAAGACCCGUAUGAAAGGCAUCACGAGAGUUCAACUGUCUCUAUUUUCUAAUCAAUGAAAUUGAUCUACUCGUGCAGAAGCGAGUAUAACUACAUUAGACGAGAAGACCCUAUGGAGCUUCAAACACAUGAAUUAAAUAUGUAAACUAACUACUCCCCGGACAUAAAUAAAAUAAUAUUUUUAAUUUAACUGUUUUUGGUUGGGGUGACCAAGGGGAAAAAUAAAUCCCCCUUAUCGAUUGAGUACUCAAGUACUUAAAAAUCAGAAUUACAAUUCUGAUUAAUAAAAUAUUUAUCGAAAAAUGACCCAGGAUUUCCUGAUCAAUGAACCAAGUUACCCUAGGGAUAACAGCGCAAUCCUUUCUUAGAGUCCCUAUCGCCGAAAGGGUUUACGACCUCGAUGUUGGAUCAGGACAUCCUAAUGAUGCAACCGUUAUUAAGGGUUCGUUUGUUCAACGAUUAAUAGUCCUACGUGAUCUGAGU
rnacentral:rRNA from 1 species